GUGUCGCCCCUCCUUUCUCUCCUCUCUCCUCCACCUCCCUUUGUCAGAACCCUGGCGGGAAUCUCGUUUUUGCCACCUUCCUCUCAUCUGCUCCAUCUGACCUAUCUUCUAAAACCUUAGCACCAAAUGGUGCAAGGUCUGAUUUUGUCACCCUAGCCUCACAAAUUUCCUUUUCCCUUCAUCUCUCUCAUUGUCCUCUCUUGAACCCCCCCAACACCAAUUGGCGUUACUUCAACAUCCUUCGUGUCAUCAUGACUUUGAGAAUCAGAUUCUCUGUCACAAAUCCCUUGAUUCAACUUCAUGUGAUUUGUACAUGAGUUUGAAUUGACUCAUGAGAUUCGAGAGACUUCAAAUCUGAAGGAGUUUUUAUCCGCUGGACAAAGAUUGAAACCAACGGACAAGCCUUCGACCCCGAAGUCCUAGCUUCAACAACUCUUUCCCUUUUCAUGAAUGCCUCCAAAAGGUAAUGAUUUUCACCUUUUCCAUUUGAUCUUUACCAUGACUUCCAUCAUGAUUUCAUCAUCAUUUUUCUUCAAAUUCUGAAAUUUAAGUUUCAAAUCUGAAAAGGUCUUCAAUUUGGGCUAUAAAUAGCCGACUUCAAUACUCUUUUCACAACAUGAGAUACACUACUCAUUAUGUGAAAAAAAACUCUCUGAUAAUUCGAGUUUUUAGUGCUUUACUCAUUUUGUUUUCUCCUCUGUUUGAUUCGAUUGAGCAAGGGCGGAUUUAGGGGGCGGAAGGGUGUUCAUCCGAACAUCCUUCGUCGGAAAAAGUUACACUGUUUAUAUAGGGGUAAUUUUAUUUUUUUACGUAUAGAUAUAAUAUGUUGAACGCCCUUGACACAAGUCAAAAGCUUGGCUUAGUGGUCAAGGGUGUUCAGAUUUUGUAAAAGGUCGCAGUUUCAAUUCCCGUCAACUGAAAUCUAAUUCUUUUUACCUCAUACUUUUUUUUAAAAUUUUAAACUAAACGAAACGACGUCGUUUUCGUUUCGUCUCUUUUAAUAUGUUUUUCCCCAAAAACGUAACUGACUUUGAGUUAAAAUCCCUAAAUCUCUCUCUCACUUCAUUGCCUCAAUGGCUCCCUCCACUCUCUCUCUCUCUCUCUCUCUCUCUCUCUCUCUCUCUCUCUCUCUCUCUCUCUCUCUCUGUGUGUGUGUGUCUCUCUCUCUCUUUCUCCAAUCUCUCUACCUUGCUGCUGUUGCUUGCUAUUCUUCUGUCAUGGCAUUGUCAUCCCAGUUAAAUCGCAACACACAACCGAGUCAACACAUGAAGAAUGAGCAGAGUCGUCACCCCAAGUGGGGCCAGGUGGGUUUGAUUACGGAGGUCAUUGAGUUCGGGCGCGAUCGAGUACCGGAGACUACGAGGUAGCCGACGGUGUCCGCAGGACCUUGUCUCUCUUUCUAUAUUUCUUUC